rnacentral:lncRNA from 1 species
CUGUGGAUUCGACACCCCAAAACUGUACUACAAUCAUCACGUCAAUCUUUGGACGUAAUCAAAGACUUUAUUAAUAGACAAAACUCUUCUUUCUCUCGACUUCUCCCUAUGCAAAUCUAGAACUUGCUAAUGUACAUCACACACCUACACAUAUCAUUAUUCUAAUUUCACUCUCUACAUUUUUGGACUAAUUUUCUUUCUUUAAACUCUCACAAUUUUGAAUGAAUGUAAUGUUCCUUUUCCGUAACCACAUUACCUUGGUGCCAAAUACAAUUCUUCUCAAUGCAAUGCCAUGAAUUUACAGAAAAGACUCUUAAAAUAUCUUGAUAAAUUUCCUUCUCCUAUUCAUGACACAUCUUCACACCCAUAUUGGCACCCCUUCAUCGGUAAAUGCUCCAGUUUUUCAAUCAAUUGUAAUAGACCUGUUGGUCUCAGAUCCCUUUGAAACUUUGCAUUUCUUUUGUUAAAAACCAGAGAACGUCGAAAAAUAAUAGGAAGAUAAAGGAACAUGAAGAAUUAAUGCGAAAGGCUCGGAGGUUCAACGACCGCUUCUAACGCUUAGUCCCUCGUUGAGCAUCCAUUAAGAUAUCACUCAGAUUCACUAGAACGGCCCAAAAACAAGCAAGAACAACAAUUAUAGAAAACACCAAGUGUUCGAAUAUCUCUUUCUCUCAACUGCCUCACUAACAUUCCACAAAGGAAUCAAAUGACCUGAAUGAAGACAACUACUAUUGAUUAACAGCCCCCAAGAUUCACUCAAGAAUCUAGAAAAAAAAAAUUACCUAGAAGGUGAAACCCUCACUGGAAGCAUGAAGCCAAACAAGAAUACAAAGGGGCUAGGGUUUUCUCCCACCCUACACUAAAGUAACAACAAGUGGUAUAUGUAUCAUUUCAAUUCCAUCAUGCAUCCAAUGGUAGUAAGCCUUCCACACGUCAGACAUCCAUUCCAUUAAGUUUAUAAAAGCAAUAAUUGCAUUUUAAGAAAAACGAUUUCACCCAUCUAGAACCUUCAUGUAAGUGGGAUGAUUUAUUGGGCUAAAUAUUUGAACCAGAUUAGAGGACCAGCAAAUGCCUCUUGGGCUCAAAUUUCAACAUACCCAAUCUUUAUAAUCUUCACCUUGCUGUAAUUUGAGACCGUUACUAAGUAGACUUAAACAAAACUAACUUCAUUUGCUCUUAUUACCUGUUCACAAAGAAAGGAAGAAAUUAGCAAACUUCAAAAUUCAACCAUCUUAAAGAAUCACUAAAUUUACUAAGUGGUAUUACCUUUGUACCUGUAUCAGCAUGAUUAACCUUAGUAGGAAUUUUAAUAAACUUGAUAUCUCCCUAUAAACUAUAUCUCUAAUGAAAUGAAAUUCAACAUCUAUAUACUUGGAUCUAUCAUGAAAAACUAGGUUUUUACCACUUUAAUUAUUUGAAUAUAGCUCCACCUGAUGUUUCAUAAGUCCUAGUUCAUUCAAUAAACCUGUUAGCUAUAAACCUUCUUUUACUGCUUUAGUUGCAGCCAUAUAUUCAGCCUCAAUUGAAGAUAGAGCAACUAAUUUUUGAAACUGAGAUUUCCAACUGAUGCAUGUGUUAUUCAUCACGUAAAAAAUUAUGCAGUUGUAGACUUCCUAUUAUCCAGGUUUUCAACAAUAUCAAAAUCAACAAACCCUUUUAGUUUAAGGCCAUCUACAUACUUUUAAACAUAUGUCCUAAUUGACUAGUGCCUUUGAAAUAUUUGAUCAGAUUUUCAUAGCUUUUCAGUGAAGUUCACCUAGAUUACUCAUAAAUCUACUUAACACACUUACAGUAUAUGCAAUAUUAGGUCUAGAACAUACCAUUACAUAUAUGACAAAUCCAACAGCAUUAACAUAUAGAACAUUCAUCAUUCUUUUAAGUUUAUCUUUAGUUAUAGGUGAUUGGUUAACAAAUAAUUUCACACAUGCAGAAAAAUGUAAACUAACAGGCUUGGCAUCAUAGAGAAAAAAAAAAUCUUUUUACCACCUUUUCAAUGUAAGGUUUUUGUGUCAGGAAUAGUUUCUCAUUAAUUCUAUUCCUCCUUAUUUCCAUUCCUAGGAUUUUCCUAGCAGGUCCUAAAUCAUUCAUUUCAAAUUCAGAUUUCAACUUUUCUUUUAGAAGGUUGAGAGUAACAGGAUUAUGACUAGUUAGUAACAUAUCAUCAACAUACAGGAGAAGAUAAUAAAAUUCAAAUUCUCCAUUCAUUUUGAAAUAAAAGCAGGGAUCAUAUUCAGAUUUCUUAAACUUCAACCCUUGUAUAAAAGUAGCAAAUCUAUUAUACCAUUUCCUUGAGGCUUAUUUCAAGCCAUAAAGGGAUUUGUUUAGGAGACACACUAACUUCUUCUUUUUCUUUACCUUGUCACAUAUAUGGUUUCAUCUAGGGAACCAUAUAAAAACACAAUUUUUACAUCAAGUUGUUCUAACUCUAGAUCAAAUUGAGUUACAUUGGAUAGCAAUACUCUACUGGAGGUAUAUUUUACUACUGGUGAAAAAAUUUCAGUGUAGUCUACCCCUUCUCUUUGAGUAAAGCCUUUUGCUACAAGUCUUGCCUUAUAUCUUUUGUCAUUUGAUUUUAACGCUUCCUCUUUAAUUUUAUAAACCCAUUUGCAAUCGAUCGAUUUGCAGUCUUUAGGUUUUUCUACGAAGUUUCAGGUUUAUUUUUGCGUAAGUAGUUUAUUUCACCUUCCAUUGCUGCAAUCCAUUUAAGGGAUUUGUUAAAGAAAAUAGCUUCUUCAUAAGAAAUUGGUUCUAUUUCACACGGGCUAGUUUCAAACUCUGUAGAUACAUAAUCUGCAUACUAGAAUCUAGAGGGGGGGUCUUAUUUGUCUCCUUUCUCUACCUCUAGCUACCUAAUAAUCUUGCAAGUCAUGUGCAAGGUUCAGUUCUUGAUUAUCGUCCAGAAUUUCAUUAUCUGGAGUGGUUUGUGGUUCUAUUUGAAGUGGCUCCACCUCAAACUGAAUUUGCUCAAAAGUGUCUUGCUUGUCAAUAUUAAUCUCUGUGAUGAUGAAAUCAUCAUCUCCUAUCUUUUCUCCAGUUUUAUCCCUAAGACAUAGAAAGUCAUUUUCAUUAAAAACCUAAAUCUACUCAUUAUUACCUUAUAGCCUUUGAUAUUCCUUAACCGCAGUCUAUAACCUUUAACUCAUUCUCCAUAUCCUAAGAAAAUACAAUUCAGUGAUCCGAGUCCAGCUUAAAAUCAAUAUGAUGUGCGUAAACUGUACAUCCAAAGGUUCUAAGGUAGGAGUAAUCAGGCAUUGAUCCUGACCAAAUUUGCUCAGGAACUUUAUUAUUUAAGGAGCUCGAGGGACGUCUAUUUAUUAGAUAACAGGCAAUUUUUACUUUUCCCUAGAAAACUUUAGGCAGGCUAAAACUAAUCAUCAAGCAUCUUGUCCUUUCAAGAAUGGUUAUGUUCAGUCUCCUAACAAUUUCAUUUUGCUGAGGUGUAUAUGUUACAGUUUUGUGCCUCAUAAUUCCUUGUUUACUACAAUAUUGAUCAAAUUCAGUAUUGCAGAAUUCUAGGCCAUUGUCAGUUCUUAAAAUUUUAAUCUUCUUACUAGUUUGGUUUUCAAUUAAUGUAUUCCACUCCUUAAAGAUUGUAGAGGUGUUAGCUUUAGAUUCCAACAAGAAAAUCCAGACUUUCCUAGAGUAAUCAUCUAUGGUAAGAAAGUAGGAUCUGUAACCAGAUACUGUAGGUACUAGUGCAGGCCCCCAUAAGUCACUAUAAAUAUAUGCUGGCAUAUUUUGAGACUUGUGUAUUCCUACCCUAAACGGCAAUCUAACCUAUUUCCCCAUUAUACAAUGCUUACAAAAGGUUAAUUUCUGAACACUAUCCCUUCCAAAAGCCCCUUGAUAUGAAAGAGAUUUCAAACCGUUUUCACUAAGAUGUCCUAAUCUCUUGUACCAUAACUCUUAUUUAUUAGAAUGUUUGCAUCAAAACUUACACAACUAUUGGGUAAAAUAGAUUGAGCAUCUAUAACAUAUAUUCCAUUGAUUUUGGGUGAACCGACAAUGAGCUUUUGAUCUCUAAAUAUGUUUGUGAAGCCAUUCUUAAUCUCAAUAUGAUAUUUUUCAUUAUCUAGGGCCCCUAAAGAUAUGAGAUUUCUUUUUAAUGCUGGCACAUAUCUAAUGUGUCUCAACAUUAAAUGAUAAACAUUUUUUCAGUUUUAGAAGAAUAUUACCUAUGCCCUUAAUUUGGCAUGGCUCAUUAUUUUCAUGUUUCACAAAACCUCCAUCAAGAAUAGAAAAAUCAGAAAGCCGCCUAAUAUUGGGGCUCAUGUGAAAUGAACUGCUUGAAUUCAGAAUCCAAUUCUGAUUAGACCUUCCAAUUGUAGAAACAUAUGCAACACCAAUAUAAGCUCCUGCUUCUUUACAAUAAGCAACAAUGGAUAGAAACCCAUUAUCAGAGUUAGGCCCUCUCUUUUGGUCAUUAGCCUUCUUAAAACUGUCUUUAAUUGUAACACUUUUUGUUCUUUGCCUUUCCCUUAUUAAAUUUCUUGUCUUUUCCUUUGUUAUUGCCCAUUUUUUUCUUAAUGAUUUUUUUGUCCUUAUUGUUAUUGGAUUGACUAAAAUUGCUAACACCAUUGACUUGAGGUUUUUGAUUGCAUGAGACAUUCUCAACAUGUAGAACCUCCCUAUGUUCAGAUUUCAAUUCCAACUCUCUGUUCAAAAGAAAGCUAUGGAUUAUAUCAACAGUUAAGUAACUUCUACCAUAUUCCAAAGCAUUUCUUAUGUAUUUAUAUUUUUCUCCUAAUGCAUUAAGUAGACUCACCAUGUUUUGUUCAUCAUAGAUCUUUUCACCACAAUUUAUAAGAUUUUGAGUAAUCCUAUAAAAUCUUUUUAUGUUUUCUUCCGACUCAAUACUAGGGUCAAAUUUAAAACUAAAAUACUUCCUCCAAAGAAAAUAUUUAUUUGGUGGAGUCAUUGUGAGAUACUUUUUCUCUAAAACACUCCACAACUCUACAACUGUCUUAGUUUCUCCUACUUUCCUAAUUACAGAGUCAGAUAAGUGGAGAAACAUAGUACUCCAUGUUGACUCAUCUUGUUCAGUUUUCCUAUCAGAACUUAAGCUUUCUAGCCAAGAUUCAUCAAUAGUUUUAGCACAUUUUAGUUGUAGCAUAAGAGCUUUUAUUUUUUGGCAUCUGAGAGUAAAGUCUCCUUUGCCAUCCCAAAUCAGAACAUCUAUUUUAGAAGUCAUACUGUGCAAUAGUAUAGUAAUUAUAUUUAAGCGUGAUAUAAACAAGAAUAUAUCAAGUAAGUUAGUAUCAGAUAAACAGUUUAUAAGAAAGAUGAAGCAAUCUAGACUUGAGAAAAACUAAUACGAGAUUAAUAGUUAAGCAUACUUAUACCCAGGAAGCAAUAAAACAAUUCAACAUGUAUGAUAUCAAGAUUAUUCACAUGCAAGAAAAAAUAUUCCACAAGCAGAACACAAUUGGAGUAUCAAUGCAGAGACUAACUAUAUCCAACAGUUCAGGUACAUGAAAUUAAACCCAAGACUAAAAUUAUAGCACACACUGAGUGGCAAAUCAUGGACUUCAAGAGUCACUUAAAGCUUUUUUGGAUUUCUUCAAGCAAAGGCACUGAUUCCCUCAUAUUCUAGGGUUCUCUAAGGGAUCCUGGGGAUCCCUAGACAAAAGCAAAUUUAGGGUUGUAUUCAUAAAACCCUUUGUUUGCAAAAAAUCGUUUAAGAGAUUCCUAAAGGAACAGGGUUUAAGGAUGUUACCAGAACUGUGAAUACAAAAAGGAUACCCUACAAUAUCACAAGUCAACUCCAAGUUCAAAUAGAAGGAGUUUCUUUGAACAAUAACAGUAGAUUAUCAAUUUUAAACAAAAGAGUCUAACCAAAAACACAGAUCGAGGGUUUUGAAACAGAUUUGAAAAGGAAAAAUGAUUUUCGCUCUAAUACCACUGUUGGUCUCAAAUCCCUUUCAAACUUUGUAUUUCUUUUGUUAAAAAUCAGAGAACGUCGAAAAAUAAUAGGAAGAUAAAGGAACAUGAAGAAUUUUCAGCCAAAGGCCCGGAGGUUCAGCGACCGCUUCUAAUGCUUAGUCACCCGUUGAACAUCUUUUAGGAUAUCGCUCAAAUUCACUAGAAUGGCCCAAAAACAGGCAAGAACAACAAUUACAGAAAGCACCAAGUGUUGAAUGUCUCUUUCUCUCAACUGCCUCGCUAACAUUCCACAAAUGAAUCAAAUGACGAGAAUGAAAACAACUACUAUUGAUUAACAGCCCUCAAGAUUCACUCAAGAAUCUACAAAAGAAAUUCACCUAGAAGGUAAAACACUCACUAGAAGCACGAACCCAAACAAAAAUACGAAGGGGGUAAGGUUUUCUCUCACACUACACUAAAGAAACAACAAGUGAUAUAUGUAUCAUUUCAAUUCCAUCAUGCAUCCUACGAUAGUAAGCCUUUCACACGUCAGACAUCCAUUCCACUGAGUUUAUAAAAGUAGUAAUCGCAUUUUAAGAAAAAUGAUUUCAUCCAUCUG